ACCUAAUCUAUCUAUCUAUCUAUCUAUCUAUCUAUCUAUCUAUCUAUGGUUCGAAAAGGUAGAAAUAUAACAUAAUUUUAUAUGAGCCUUUAUUAUUUAACUGAGUUGUUUUUAAUUUAAUUUUUAUUUUAUUAUUUUUUGUUAUUUUUUUUUACAACGGUACUGUAACUGGUCAGUAGGAAGACACUAGAUGCCGCUCUGUUCUUGUAGAUACAACGACAGGCGAGCGAAGAAGUCUUGGGGUCCUGUUUCAUGUGUUUCUGGGAUACUGGCGGACUGACUGUGCCCUGAAUGUCAUGGCGACCAACAGCGGGCAACUUUCCCGAGGAUUCGUAACUUACACAAAUCAAGAAAUCCACAACACUGACUGAAAACACAGGGUCAACACAUUUUGUCCAAUUUACAGAGCAAAGACUACAGAAAUCAUCACCAAAACCAAAAAUUGGGAUUCAGUUUUUGAAAUGGAGUGUGCAGUAAACACUGGGCCUGGUAAAUUACAAAGUCUUAAUCCUUUAAACUGUCACAGUUUUAGCAUUGUGCUUUAAUUGUUGAAAGUUGGUAAUGGCACAGUGAUUGUUAGUACAAGUGCUUUUAAUGUUAUCAUAUAUUCAGACAUUUUCAGAAAUGCCACAUUAUUAAUUUAUCUGAUCGCUUGCUUCAGUAUAUAACUUCUUCCACAUUUUUCUCUCAGGUAACCUGACUGAUAUUCCCAGUAUAUGUUAUUCGAUCUAAGUGUGAUAUUUGGGGUUCACACUGUUAACACCAACUGUUGUUAUUUAGUUAUUGUUGGCCAUUUUUAAGGUUUAGCUAAGUCUGCAUUAUAAUUAUAAUUAAGUAGCUUUUUUGUAACUUUUGUAAUUUUAUUUUAAUGGUUAGAAACCACUUCUUUCAUGCUGUAGCGUUCACAUAAAUUUGUUUGUAAACAUUUUAUGUUAUCUCUACAGAUGAUGAGCCAUCUGAUACUGCUGUUCCAUAUGAGGUCAUUACUGUAACGGAUGGAAGUGAGACCCCAAAAAAGAAAACAAGAAACAUAAGAAACACAAAAGUAAAAAGAAACGUAAGAAGCGUAAAGGUGAAAAGGAGAGUAGCUC
rnacentral:lncRNA from 1 species